AUUAUACCUUCUUUUCUCCAUGGUCAGAAGGCAAUUAAGUAAAAUUCAACUAUCCUUAGGGGUGUAAUCACUUUACUAAUACAGAUAAAACCAUUAUGACCAAGUAGGAAUUAUAGCAUAAGCUCAGCACAUAAAAUGGAAUUAUUUAAAUUAUACUACAGUGAAGCUAGUCAGGAAUAAGACUCCAUUUAUUUUUGGCCUGAACACUUCUUUCAGAUGAAGAGAAAUGUUACUUCCAGUUUUACAUAUAUUUCUGGGAACGAAACUCAGGGCUUGUCCACAAUACUACAAUUUUCCUGUGUUGGGAUCCUCUCUACUUGAAGUGCCUGGGAGAAAAGCACAUCCUACUCAGCAGUGAGUGGAAGCAAGUCCGUCAUUCUCUGUUCCCUCAGUCUUCCUGUUUUCUUCAUUAUGCCCCGAUGGCUGCCUUCUGUGAAGUUCAUUGUUGAGUGGGGAGGUUGCAAAAUCAGAGCUCAGACCCCUGAAAGGGCGCACUGCUUGGUGAUGCAGAAAUGGUGGACUCGAACAAAAUUGUGACAUACGUGGAUGACUGAAUAGCUAACUUUGCUGUUAGCCCUUCUCUUCCCUGACCCCGUAAGUGGAUAAUAACAAACACCAAGAACCUGGGGUUGCAGAGUGUUUCUUCUGCUUGGCUUGUUCCAAACCCUUUACCAGCCACUACCUGUUGACAAUUACGUGUUGAAAUAGAAAAAGCACAGGUGGAUGACUCAGGUACAGCAGCCAAUAAUGAUAACUUGAGAUGUAACAAAAUUAGGUACUUGUGAUGAACAAUUGAUCUUCCAGCAGAUAAAAGAACAGAUGGAAUCUUAGAUGAUUU
rnacentral:lncRNA from 1 species